rnacentral:misc_RNA from 1 species
GAUGAAGAACGUAGCGAAAUGCGAUACUUGGUGUGAAUUGCAGAAUCCUGUGAACCAUCGAGUCUUUGAACGCAAGUUGCGCCCGAAGCCAUCAGGUUGAGGGCACGUCUGCCUGGGCGUCACAUAUCGUUGCCCAAUGCCUAUUGCAGUGCAAUAGGAAUUUCUAGGGCGAAUGAUGGCUUCCCGUGAGCGUUGUUGCCUCGCGGUUGGUUGAAAAUCGAGUCCUUGGUAGGGUGUGCCAUGGUAGAUGGUGAUCGAGUUAGAACGACACCGAUCAUGUGCAUGCUCCCCAAAAUAUGGCCUCUAUGACCCACACGCGUCUUUUGACGCUCAUGACGAGACCUCAGGUCAGGCGGGGCUACCCGCUGAAUUUAAGCAUAUCAAUAAGCGGAGGA